UCUGGAGAUUGGCAUCGUGAACACAGCUCAGCGUCAUUCUGGAGAUGUUCUCCCAGCCACCUGAGCUCUCCUGAGCCACACCCCAAGUCUGGUGUGAGGAGAGGCCUCUGUUCUUCACAGAGGUGCCUGGCUUCCUGUGCAGCACACUGGGUCCAGGACAGGAGGCCACCCCCAACCAAGCCUCACCUGUGUGCCUUUAUGAGGCGUCGGGAGAAAGCCACCCUCCUGUGUAUUCUGCUUUCUCCAUGAGAUUUUGCCAUGUCACACUUUUGUAUAUUCCUAGACUAAUAAAUGGAAACAAGAACAGCAG
rnacentral:lncRNA from 1 species